rnacentral:hammerhead_ribozyme from 1 species
AUAUUUCUGACGAGUCUCAAAUAGAACGAAACGCGCGUCCUGGAU